rnacentral:rRNA from 1 species
GAUGAACGCUGGCGGCGUGCUUAACACAUGCAAGUCGAGCGGUCAAGGCGGAGCUUUCUUUGCUUGAUCAUUGGCGAACGGGUGAGUAACACGUGAGCAAUCUGCCCCUGACUCUGGGAUAAGCGCUGGAAACGGCGUCUAAUACUGGAUACGAUCUGCGAAGGCAUCUUCAGCAGCUGUAAAGAAUUGCGGUCAGGUAUGAGCUCGCGGCCUAUCAGCUUGUUGGUGGGGUAAUGGCUCACGAAGCCGUCGACGGGUAGCCGGCCUGAGAGGGGGACCGGGGACCAUGGGACUGCGACACGGAGCAGAAUCCAACGGGCGGCAGCAGUGGGGAACCUUGCAGAGCGGGCGCACGCCAGAUGUAGAAACGUCGGGUGCGGGACGACGGGCUUCGAGUUGUAAACAUAUUUGAGCAGGAAAGAAGAGAACGUGACGGUACCUGAAGAGAAAGCCACGGCUAACUACGUG